UACAGAGGGGGCAAGCGUUAUUCGGAAUUAUUGGGCGUAAAGAGCUCGUAGGCGGUCUGUCGCGUCUGCUGUGAAAACUCAGGGCUUAACCCUGAGCUUGCAGUGGGUACGGGCAGACUAGAGUGCGGUAGGGGAGACUGGAAUUCCGUGGUGUAGCGGUGAAAUGCGCAGAUAUCAGGAGGAACACCGGUGGCGAAGGCGGGUCUC
rnacentral:rRNA from 1 species